CCCCCAACUCAUAAUCACCUCUACAUCGGGGAAGCAGCAGUAAUGAACAAUAAAGGAAAAUGCCACGUAAUGGCAAAAAACACUAGUGAUAAAGUCGUCGAAAUCGAAAUAGAACCAGAUGAAAUAGAGCCUUACGACAUCGUAUCCACAUCAAAUGAUGAUUUUUAUCCAGACGUAGAACAUCCAUUAAAAUUCAGGACACAGGAACAAAGAAUUCAAGAAAUUUUAAAUACGAGAUAAGCUCGGAAAAGCCGCUCGUUUUAAACAUUCAAUUCACACGAUAGACGAAAUUCCAGUCAACACCAGGCAAUAUCGUUACCCACCAAUACAUCAAGAAGAAAAUCAAAAACAAAAACCUGAUUCACAGGGAAAGAAACAAUAUCGGUGCAAUUCUCGAAUCCACCCCACUCAUAGGGCUCACACGCGCGUCGCUAUCGCCCUGGCUCGUAACAUGAGGAUCAACGACAUCGAAGGAGAAAUUCUGGAUACGGUCAUCCGAGGAUAUUUAAUUCCGGACCAUCUUUCGAAGUCGGGCAUCUGGAGCUAACGGGAGUUCGAGGAAAAGCAGUCAAUAGCAGUCCGAGGACCAAUUGACAGCGAGAGCAAAGCAUCUACCAGCAAGCAGCCGAGUGCAGUCCGAGGACCACCGGGACGCGGAACAACGACAUCCACAGCAUGCAGGUAACUCUACUGCUGUAAGUCCUAACUCGCAUGUAUCAUAACAAAUUGUAAACCAGAAUCUUGUAUGUCGGAACAAGGUAACGAUAUAGAUCGUUUUCGAUUACCAUAUACUAGAGUCAUUUCGAGAUCGUCUGAAUCAAUAUUUGACAACUAUUUAAAUUAUAGCCGUCACGUAGCUACGACUUCACCUUUUUCCGACUCAGCGAUAACAUUUCGUAGACGCAUACGCGCACCAUCCAUACACUUUGAUUUCGAUUCAUUAAGCGGCAGUUGAAACUUUGAACACGUAAUUAGGGAAAGAGGAUUCCUUAUAGAAGAACACGAUUUUAGUUUAUUGCAAACAGAAAAUAUGGUAUCUAACGUACUAAACAGCCAUGCACUAGUAAAAGAAUUGAGGGAAACGUCUCCCACAAAAGUGUUAGCGUUCAUCGGUUCGUGUAUGCUAACAUCAGAGU